rnacentral:rRNA from 1 species
CCACCAGACUCCUACGGGAGGCAGCAGUGGGGUUUAUUGCACAAUGGGGGAAACCCUGAUGCAGCGACGCCGCGUGAAGGAAGAAGUCUCUCGGUAUGUAAACUUCUAUCAGCAGGGAAGAAAAUGACGGUACCUGACCAAGAAGCCCCGGCUAACUACGUGCCAGCAGCCGCGGUAAUACGUAGGGGGCAAGCGUUAUCCGGAUUUACUGGGUGUAAAGGGGGCGCAGACGGCAGCGCAAGCCAGGAGUGAAAGCCCGGGGCCCAACCCCGGGACUGCUCUUGGAACUGCGCGGCUGGAGUGCAGGAGGGGCAGGCGGAAUUCCUGGUGUAGCGGUGAAAUGCGUAGAUAUUAGGAGGAACACCAGUGGCGAAGGCGGCCUGCUGGGCUUUUACUGACGCUGAGGCUCGAAAGUGUGGGGAGCAAACAGGAUUAGAUACCCCUGUA